rnacentral:rRNA from 1 species
UACGUAGGGUGCAAGCGUUAAUCGGAAUUACUGGGCGUAAAGCGUGCGCAGGCGGUGAUGUAAGACAGGUGUGAAAUCCCCGGGCUUAACCUGGGAACUGCAUUUGUGACUGCAUCGCUGGAGUGCGGCAGAGGGGGAUGGAAUUCCGCGUGUAGCAGUGAAAUGCGUAGAUAUGCGGAGGAACACCCGUGGCGAAGGCGGCUCUCUGGAACGCAACUGACGCUGAGACGCGAAAGCGUGGGGAGCAAACAGG